rnacentral:rRNA from 1 species
UACGAGAGUCCCAAACGUUAUUCGGAAUUACUGGGCUUAAAGAGUUCGUAGGCGGCAUUGCAAGUCGGGUGUGAAAGCCCUCGGCUCAACCGAGGAAUUGCGCUCUAAACUGCAGUGCUCGAGGAACCUAGAGGUGAGCAGAACAGAUGGUGGAGCGGUGAAAUGCGUUGAUAUCAUCUGGAAUACCGGAGGCGAAGGCGGCUCACUGGGGGUUUUCUGACGCUGCGGAACGAAAGCCAGGGUAGCGAACGGG